UACGUAGGCAGCAAGCGUUGUUCGGAGUUACUGGGCGUAAAGGGUGCGUAGGCGGCUUUUUAAGUUGGUGUGAAAUCUCCCGGCUCAACUGGGAGGGUGCGCCGAAUACUGAGAGGCUAGAGUGUGGGAGAGGAAAGUGGAAAUUCCUGGUGUAGCGGUGAAAAUGCGUAGAUAUCAGGAGGAACACCGGUGGUGUAAACGGCUUCUGGACCAUAACUGACGCUGAUGCACGAAAGCGUGGGUAGCAAACAGG
rnacentral:rRNA from 1 species